rnacentral:tRNA from 2 species
CCGGGCAUGGCGCAGUUUGGUAGCGCGCCUGCUUUGGGAGCAGGAGGCCGUGGGUUCAAGUCCCGCUGCCCGGACCA